UGGAAGGUCACUUUACUUCUGACAACUC
rnacentral:piRNA from 1 species